rnacentral:misc_RNA from 1 species
UGCUCUGCAAAAUUUCCACAGGCAAGUUUAUUAUUAUUAUUUGAUCAACUAACAUCCAUACUGGACUCUCUUUGCAUUGUAUUAUUUGAAAUAUGCAAUCAGAGGUUCAAACCUCUGAUUUCCUCCCUCUCUCAAGCCAAAAUAAUAAAAGAUAAAAAAAAACCUACCAUGUCAUUAGCAUCUCUCCCGCUUUCUCUUUGGGGAGGGGCUUAUGAUGUGCAUGUCACGGGUAAUUUGUAGAUCCAUGAUUUCUUUUGCACUUGACAAUAAAUUUACACUGUUUGCUCACUAGCCAAGUAUUUCUGUUCUUCUUUUUGUGCUUCACCUGUGAAUUCCUUUAAUUUAAUUGUAGUUGAGGGAAGAGAAGAGAGAGGGGGUGGGGUACCAAACCUAGUUACUUGGACCAUUUAACGGGGUUGUUUGAUGUCUGUUUCACUUUUGACCACUCACUCCUUUUUGUCUUUCAAACUUUGAGUUUUAAUGGGAUUUGUGAAGCUAAAGUUUAAACCUGUCUACUACAAUAUGCAUUUGCUUGCUGCUGUAGAAAUUUAGCUUCUCAGGUAAUCUUUACUGAACGCACUAAUUUGCUGAUCUGGCAGGCGUGGACUGAGGC